rnacentral:rRNA from 1 species
UACGUAGGUCCCAAGCGUUAUCCGGAUUUAUUGGGUUUAAAGGGUGCGUAGGCGGGCUAUUAAGUCAGUGGUGAAAGCCCCAAGCUUAACUUGGGAACUGCCAUUGAUACUGAUGGUCUUGAGUACAUUUGAGGUGGGCGGAAUGUGUCAUGUAGCGGUGAAAUGCUUAGAUAUGACACAGAACACCGAUUGCGAAGGCAGCUUACUAAGUCGUAACUGACGCUGAUGCACGAAAGCGUGGGGAGCAAACAGG